UAUUUGAAAUUAGGGCGUGAACAACCAAUUAAUAUUUUCGUUAUAUUUCACAUUAGGAAGAGAGACUUCUGUUUAACCUUAGACGGAAUCACUAUACGACAUUCUUUUUCGGUCAUCCUUGUCGAGAUUGACAAGAUCUAGUAGUUAACUCGAAGAUUCUCUCUCCGGGACGAGACUACUAGACUUCACUCAUGUAGAGACUACAUACACGCCAAGCUAGCGAAACAGACUUCUAAAAUAUCUACAAGAUGGGUAUCAUUGCUGCAUACUAAAUUUGUGUUUCAUUUGGUCAGUGUGGAUAGGAACCUUGAUGGGGAUUAGCAUCUAUCCCUUCCCGUCCAUGCAGGUCAUAACAGCAGAAGAAAUGGAAAGAAACACAGAAGAAGUGCUCAGUAUUAUGUAUGCUUUCAAUUAGGUCAACCUGUAAUAAACUAUAAGAUGGCUGUCUUCUGAGCCCAACACGCCAGAAGACAGCCGUGUUUUUAUUUGGUGCCGCGAGAA